GAUGAACGCUAGCUACAGGCUUAACACAUGCAAGUCGAGGGGCAGCAUGAAUUUACUUCGGUAAAUUUGAUGGCGACCGGCGCACGGGUGCGUAACGCGUAUCCAACCUUCCCGUUACUCCGGGAUAGCCUUCCGAAAGGGAGAUUAAUACCGGAUGGUGUUCAAGUGGUGCAUAUUAUUUGAACUAAAGAUUUAUCGGUAACGGAUGGGGAUGCGUACCAUUAGAUAGUAGGCGGGGUAACGGCCCACCUAGUCUACGAUGGUUAGGGGUUCUGAGAGGAAGGUCCCCCACACUGGAACUGAGACACGGUCCAGACUCCUACGGGAGGCAGCAGUGAGGAAUAUUGGUCAAUGGCCGUAAGGCUGAACCAGCCAAGUAGCGUGAAGGAUGAAGGUUCUAUGGAUUGUAAACUUCUUUUAUACGGGAAUAACACCAUCUACGUGUAGAUGUCUGCAUGUACCGUAUGAAUAAGCAUCGGCUAACUCCGUG
rnacentral:rRNA from 1 species